GGAUUAAGUCACAGUUCCUAAUUAGGACAGGCUCUCUGACACAGUCAGGUAUCUCUUUAGUCGCCUCCAGAGAUCCGUGCAGAGCUAAGUGAGCUUGGUUUUUUUAAAAUUCUUUUUUGUUUGGUUUGGUUUUCAUGUGGUAGUGAAGGCAGGAAACUGAGCGAGCAGACCUUGGUGGAAAGCUUACCUCUGGCAGAAACCCCAAGAUGCCUUCUGAGAAGGACCGAGCCAAGAAGAACCUCGUGCAGAGGCUGGCCCUGAAGAGCUGUCUGGCUAAGGAGACACUCUCUGAGUUCCUGGGCACCUUUAUAAUGAUUGUCCUUGGAUGUGGCUCUAUUGCUCAAGCAGUCCUCAGUCGAGAAAAGGCUGGUGGGAUCAUCACUAUCAAUAUUGGAUUUGCAACGGCAGUUGUGAUGGCUCUUUAUGCGACUUUUGGUGUCUCUGGGGGCCACAUCAACCCAGCGGUGUCUUUUGCAAUGUGCACCUUUGGAAGGAUGGAGUGGUUCAAGUUCCCCUUUUAUGUGGGAGCUCAGCUUUUGGGAGCCUUUGUCGGGGCUGCAACUGUCUUUGGCAUUUACUAUGACGGACUCAUGGCCUUUGCUGAUGGAAAGCUGCUCAUCACGGGAGAAAAUGGAACGGCGUUCAUUUUCGCGACAUACCCAAAACCAUUUGUAUCCGUGCCAGGUGCCUUUGUAGACCAAAGCCCAUGGCCUAGGCGCAUCACACACAUAAAAGGGAGCUCCAGAAUUUUGUCUGCAAUACGAGGGGUUGAGCACAGGCCUUGAAAGGCAGGCUUUCCAUCAGUGAGCUCCAAAGAAUGAAGAUGUAUCAAUGCACGGCCAAGUCUACAGGUGGUGUCUACCAUGUUCCUCCUUCUGAUUGUCUUUGCCAUCUUUGACUCCAGAAACCUGGGGGUCCCCAGAGGCCUGGAGCCCAUUGUCAUUGGCCUCCUAAUCAUUGUCAUUUCCUGUUCUCUCGGACUCAACUCUGGUUGUGCCAUGAACCCUGCUCGAGACCUCAGCCCCAGGCUCUUCACUGCUCUGGCAGGAUGGGGAUUUGAGGUCUUCACAUUUGGAAAUAACUUCUGGUGGAUACCUGUCGUGGGCCCUAUGAUUGGAGCUGUCCUGGGAGGUCUCAUCUAUGUUCUUUUUAUCCAAAUGCAUCACUCGAACCCCGACCCAGAAGUGAAGGCAGAACCAGCCGAGAACAAUCUAGAAAAACACGAACUCAGCGUCAUCAUGUAGUGGCAUGACCAGGUCUAGAGUUACCAUUCAUCCUGUUCUUUCUUCAGAAAAGAUGGCAUCUGUGUGCCUGUGCAGACUUGGGGUGGGGACAUCUACCCAACCCUCUCUAGCUGACUGGGACAAAAAUAAAUCCCAAAGGCAUCCAUGAAAAACUCUACCAGUCACCCCUCCCCAGAACAGCACUAACUGUUUAUGAUGGGUAUUUGAUGGAAGACCGUACUCCUAGGUGAUUGCUAAGAUUUUGGAAACUUGACCAUGUGCUCGGCUGGAUGGCCUCAGAGACUUUUCUUACCCUGUAUGAAACUGUGUGAUCAAAGGUGACCAAAGGUUCUGUUUCACAAUCUAUAAAUACAUUCUAAAGCUGAAAGGCCAAACAGUGGAUGCACUUAACACCUAUGAAGUGGGGAGCAAAGGGUUAACACUCUACCAAGCUGAGCGCUACCACUAAUACCCAUCUUCUCCCAACCUAGGGCUGGAGAAAGCAGCAGACAGCAGCUGGAAGAAGGCAGUGGCAUUUAGAAACCUCAGGACAUGAGAUAAAUUUGGGAAACUGAAUGGCUUUCUUUUUAAUGGAAACCAUUUGUCAGAUUAAUCUCCUGCUCCUCUGCAUUUUAGAUGACAUCAAUUAAUUUCCAGGUCUUUAAGUUUAUAAUAACCUAAAAUACGAUUAUAACCUUGGCCGGGAAAAAUACACCGCUCGGUCUUUUAGCACUAGAGUGAGCCAUUAGGAGAGACCUUUUUAAUAAAUAGUUGGUGGCUACUCUCAUCCAUAUCCCCAGAAGCCCAAACUAAAAGCUAGUGGACUCUACCUGGUGGACUAAAGUUGGAGGUAGAUAAAGUCCCUGGGACAAAAGGAUAAGGUCGGGCUUUAGGACCCCCGGUUCCACGCGCCUUAUCCAGUUUGAUCCCAACAGCAAUUGUCUGAGGUGAAUGACCACAGCAUUCUUCUCAAAUGAGAAAUUCAGGUGACCUGAGCAAGUUGCCCUUUCUUCUGCAGGGGGCUUUGAGUGUUGCCUUAUGCCUUCCAGAAGCUUGCUAGCCGACUGAGGGUGUUUGAGCUGAGGGCAUCGGCAGCUUCCAGACGGUGUGGGCUUUGUAGAAGCACCACUCCGGGCCUUUGAUUUCCAUACGCCAUGUUUACUGUUUUUAUUCCCAGUUUUACUGAGGCACGGAUGAAGGGACAAGGUAGCCGUUUGAUAAUGUUCAUUUGUGGAGAAACAGAGGCCUUUCUUCCUUAGUGGCUCUCUGUCUCCGUCCCUGCCAGCCCUCCUCAGCCUCUCCUGGAGACAUUUCUCUAACUGAUGUUACUUCCAACCAGAGAAAGAACUGUUCUGUAUCAGGGGUGUGCCUUCACUGCCAACUGUUUAAAAGCCCGGCGUUCCUCGAUAACAGCAAGUUUCCCCAGGUGCUUUGCAAGACUAACAGAACAAGACAUGAAUGAGAAACAUCUGUGAUAUCCUGCGCUGUGCAACCUAUGGGCAUAUAAAUUCAUUUUCUGAGUCUGAAAUUACCUGGAUAUUUUCUAGUUUAAAUAAAUUUGGAGGGAUAUUAA